CGCUAUGACGCUCGAUUGACACCCAGCGGGAAUUAGUCCGUGAAAAGUUUGGGCAUAUGAAGUUGACGUGCUUGACGGUCUUAACAAGGAUAUUGAUAUUGCCUGUACGUAUUCUUUGUGUACACCUGGAGGUAUUCCUAUUCGUAGUUUUAUCAUACCGUUGUUCGCGUGUUUGUAUUAGCUCCACGUGAGUGUUAGCUCAUUAGCUUACGUUGUUUAUUUUGUUAGCAUUAGCAGCGUGAACGGGUUGUUAGCCGCUGCAUAGCUAAGCUAGCUUGCGCCGAAGAAGGCUUUUUAUUUACUUCAUCGUCUUUGACGUGGAAACCUUGAUGACUGCUGAGACUCCUGGAGCUGCCCAGCUAACGCGCAGAGCUUCUUCCACCCCGCGGGAGAGACCACGCCAUGGCUGGACACUGGUCCGCCACCUUGACCGAGAGACUGGCCACGUCAUCAUCAGCUGCCGAGGCCACGCCUCUCUGUCGACACCUGUCUGUCCCUCGUUCUUCACCUGAGGCCUGAGAGACCGGUUAAAGCUGCAGGUUGGACUCAGGACUGAACUAAAGCUUGGGGCUACGUGACAGCUGAUCCGAGAUGAGUGACAGGUGCUGGCGAGGGAACGUGACUAACGCGGGGGGAGGGGAGGAGGAGGAGGAGAGAGGAGGAACGGGACACUUCCUGCCUCAAGGUCUUGACUUGUGCGUCCGUCAUCUUCAGCGCCUUGGCCAGUGUGGCGCGCUCGGCCGACGCCAGGUACUUCUGCCGGUGGAAGCGCUUCUCCAGCUCGCAGAUCUGCACGCGGCUGAAGGAGGUGCGCGGCUUUUUCCUCUUGGGCGGCGUCCGGUUCUGGUACGGGUGGCCGAUGCGACGCGUCACGGAGAACGGCGAGAGGGCGGCUGAGAAGACAAAAGGCGAGGAUUUAUUAGAGGUUUGAUUUAGAUAUUCAUUAAACAUUGUGUACGUAGGGGGAUUUAAACAUCAUUCACGUCGUCCUUAAAUAAGUCAGCGUUAGCAUUAGCAGUCAGGUCCCUGUAAGUAAUUAAGGUGUUUACACGUAAAAAGGGUUUUAGAUCCAUUAGUGUUAAUGGUUAUUUAUCUGUGCUGCUGAAGAAUAAACUUAUUUCCCCUGAGCUUUCA